UACCCACCUAGAACCAGCAGCACAGUGGUACGUGUAGGUACCACGUGGUAGGUGUAGGUACACCACAGUAGGUGCAGGUACCUCGGGUACCUACCUAGAAGAACCACACAGUGGUACGUGUAGCUAGCACGUGGUAGGUGUAGCUAGCACCCCGCAGUAGGUGCAGGUACCACGGGUACCCACCUAGAACCACACAACCACACAGUGGUACGUGUAGGUACCUCGGGUACCCACCUAGAACCACACAACCACACAGUGGUACGUGUAGCUAGCACCCCGCAGUAGGUGCAGGUACCUCGGGUACCCACCUAGAACCACACAACCACACAGUGGUAGGUGUAGCUAGCACCCCGCAGUAGGUGCAGGUACCACGGGUACCCACCUAGAACCACACAACCACACAGUGGUACGUGUAGGUACCACGUGGUACGUGUAGCUAGCACCCCGCAGUAGGUGCAGGUACCUCGGGUACCUACCUAGAACCACACAACCACACAGUGGUAGGUGUAGCUAGCACGUGGUAGGUGUAGCUAGCACGUGGUAGGUGUAGAUACACCACAGUAGGUACAGGUACCUCGGGUACCCACCUAGAACCAGCACACAGUGGUACGUGUAGGUACCACGUGGUAGGUGCAGGUACCUCGUGGUACGUGUAGCUAGCACCCCGCAGUAGGUGCAGGUACCUCGGGUACCCACCUAGAAGAACCAC